GAUCAUGGCUCAGGACGAACGCUGGCGGCGUGCCUAAUACAUGCAAGUUGAACGCUGAAGACUGGUACUUGUACUAGUUGGAUGAGUAGCGAACGGGUGAGUAACGCGUGGGUAACCUACCUCUUAGCGGGGGACAACUAUUGGAAACGAUAGCUAAUACCGCAUAACAAUACCUAACACAUGUUAAGUAUUUGAAAGCACCAACUGGUGCACUAAGAGAUGGACCCGCGUUGUAUUAGCUAGUUGG
rnacentral:rRNA from 1 species